rnacentral:rRNA from 1 species
CCUAGUGGCGGACGGGUGAGUAACGCGUAGGUAUCUAUCCAAGGGUGGGGGAUAACGGCGGGAAACUGCUGCUAAUACCGCAUGACGACUGAGGUCCAAAGGCCGCAAGGUCGCCUAUGGAGGAGCCUGCGUUCGAUUAGCUUGUUGGUGGGGUAACGGCCUACCAAGGCGACGAUCGAUGGCUGGUCUGAGAGGAUGAUCAGCCACACUGGGACUGAGACACGGCCCAGACUCCUACGGGAGGCAGCAGUGGGGAAUAUUGGACAAUGGGGGCAACCCUGAUCCAGCAAUGCCGCGUGGAUGAAGAAGGUCUUCGGAUUGUAAAGUCCUUUCGACGGGGACGAUGAUGACGGUACCCGUAGAAGAAGCCCCGGCUAACUUCGUGCCAGCAGCCGCGGUAAUACGAAGGGGGCUAGCGUUGCUCGGAAUGACUGGGCGUAAAGGGCGCGUAGGCGG